UUUGUAUAUUUUCCACUUAAUUGAGGGUUAUAAAUACAAGCACCCUCAAAAUUUUUUAUUUUGGUUCGUUUUGUUACAGUAUUAUUGGUAAUCUAGAGAUUUUGUUAUGGUUCUAUCACCAUGAAGUCGCUAUUGUUACACAACCUCCAUCAUCAUGAAAUUGUUAUUAUCGAGUAAAAUUGUAUUUAAGGGCAGAAGAUUUGAAAUAUUAGUAAAAUAGACGAGGACAAAUUAGGUUUUUUUAGUAGUAGUUUCUUUUAAUAUAUUA